rnacentral:lncRNA from 1 species
AUGAAGUUCAAUCCCUUUGCGACUUCCAACCGAAACAAGAACCACAAAAGGCAUUUCAAUGCACCUUCCCACAUUUACAGGAAGACUAUGUCUUCCCCUCUUUCCAAAGAGCUGAGACAGAAGUACAACGUGUGAUCCAUGCCCAUCCAAAAGGAUGAUGAAGUUCAGGUUGUACGAGGACACUAUAAAGGUUAGCCAAUUGGCAGAGUAGUCCAGGUUUACAGGAAGAAAUAUGUCCUCUACAUCGAACGGGUGCAGUGGGAAAAGGCUAAUGGCACAACUGUCCAUGUAGGCAUUCACCCCAGCAAGGUGGUUAUCACUAGGCUAAAACUGGACAUAGACCGCAAAAAGAUUCUUGAACAGAAAGCCAAAUCUCGCCAAGUAGGAAAAGGGCAAAUACAAGGAAGAAACAAUUGAGAAGAUGCAGGAAUAA